AUUGAACGCUGGCGGCAGGCCUAACACAUGCAAGUCGAACGAGGGGCGGACGGGUGAGUAAUGGCUGGGCAACUGCAUGAUGGAGGGGGAUAACUACUGGAAACUGUAGCUAAUACCGUAUACCAUAGAAUGGGACCAGAUGGGAUUAGCUAGUAGGAGGGGUAAACGCUCACCAAGGCGACGAACCUUAUCUGGUCUGAGAGGAUGACCAGCCAAACAGGAACUGUGACACGGUCCAGACUCCUACGGGAGGCAGCAGUGGGGAAUAUUGCACGAUGGGCGCAAGCCUGAUGCAGCCAUGCCGCGUGUAUGAAGAAGGCCUUCGGGUUGUAAAGUACUUUCAGCGGGGAGGCGUUACCCGCAGAAGAAGCACCGGCUAACUCCGUGCCAGCAGCCGCGGUAAUUC
rnacentral:rRNA from 1 species